UGAAUUUACUACUGUCUCUCUGCUUGGGAGAUUUGCCAGCUGCAAAGGAAAUAAGAAAUACUCUAUAAACUCCAGUUUGGGGAUGGAGCAUCGAGAGGGCUAACUCAUCAGUAUGUAAGCAAUUCAAACUAAUAAAUACUGCAGGCUCUCUAGGCAAUAUGAAACAAUAAAGACAAAUGCUAUAAACUGACCCUAGAAACCAUACCAAACAUUUUUUUGCUUUAAGACUGAAACACUUUGCUAUUGUCCCAUAGAAUGUUUAUCAUCUUUUAUGGAACCUAGAAAGUGAACAUUAUUUCUCUCCUAGUCCAUAAAAGUCUUGAAAUCUGUGAUGUUAGCCAUUUUACACUGAGAUAAAACCUUAAAAUCUUUUUUUUUUUUUUUUUUUUUUCCCUGCAGAAAAACACAAGGAAAUAUCUCUGCAAGAGAGUGCUUAUGUAACAUAUGAGAAACCCACCUUUUAUUCUUCUCUGCCUGAGUCAGGCCAGGAAUUCAUACUUUGUACUGCCAACCCCACGUAAAUGCUCAGACCACCAAUCUGUUCUGGAUUCUCAUGGUCCAGCUAUGACUAUUUAAUCCAUCUUAGAUCUGGGACAUACUUCCCAGUCACUUCUGAUUUACAGCCUGCAAAAUUUGAGUUUUCCUAUGAAAAGGCAGUUAAAAAAAUCCCCACCAGCUCCAUCUUCGACUCUGAUGAUAUUUCAACAAAGAACUUACAUGUGUGCAAAAUUUAAACCUGAGCAGCUCUGAAGUUUUACAAUUCAUGAGGAAUAUUCUACUGUCAUGUAUAAUUCAGGAAAAGGGCACUUUGGAAGAUACAUUCUUUCUCAUUUCUAAGGGAACAAGGAAGAGAUGGAGGCAGAGGAAGAGAGACUCAUUGUUCAUCUUGCGUUUAGAAGAACAAGCUUUCAAGUAUUUUGAGAGUGCAGUAAUGGACAUGCGUGAAGAAAUGGAAUUACCAUAUUUGAACAUUAAGACUUACCACUGGGAUUUCCAGACUUUUGAGUCUGUGUUCAGUACUUUUUGUGCCUUUGCAGCUUUAAAGUGUUGCUAAAAAAAUAAUGACAGUGCAUUUGUCUAUAUCUGUAGUAUACAUAUUGGCAAACAGUGAUGUAUUUUGUAUGUUUCAAUAAUCACAUUAUUUGGCUCAUACCUUCAUGCAACAACUUGUAGAAUUAAUAAGGGACCAAUAAUUUUAGGAAAUUAGGAAGUGUGUGAUCCCUGAAGUAACAGAAUUUUCAUGUCUUGUAAGAGCUGAUUACCAAGUUUAACCACAUGUUACAAAAUUAAAGAUAUGUGUUAUGCAUUAUUUAAAAUCACCUUGAGACCAACUGUAACUAAAUUGCUGACACUUUUAAAAAAAUCUAAAGAAAUUCAGAAGCUAGCAUAUAGCUCCCAAAGAGUAUCAGGUAAGGAGGAAGACAAUUAAGAUAUUUAAAUAAGAAGCAAAAUAGUUCCAUGGGCCAAAACUGUAUAACUGUGGCAGUAAAAGGAAAACAGACAGUUAUGCUUGACAGCUUUCCAUAUUAACGUCAUGUGGUAAACUUAAAAUUUUGUUUAAAUGAAAUCCCCCCCCCCCGCUUUUUUUUUCUUUUUCUUUUUCUUUUUCUUUUUCUUUUUCUUUUUCUUUUUCUUUUUCUUUUUCUUUUUCUUUUUCUUUUUCUUUUUCUUUUUCUUUUUCUUUUUCUUUUU
rnacentral:lncRNA from 1 species